CAGUAAUUUUAAUCUGCAAAAUUUCAAAUGCGCGGUCAACUAUCGAUAUGCUAGCAGAGUUAUGUAAUCGGCAGCUCCAGCUGUUUUGCCAUUUUCUGUGCGUCGUUUUUAAUAAUUCGCUGGAAUUAUUGGACUUUUUUCUUGAAUUUCUCACCAUUUUAAGAACGCGAUCGAAGCCUCCCUUGCUGGCAACGUACUCUGCCACAUGCUUGACGAAAUCCACACCACGUUUGCCCGACAUUGUACCAGUGGAGGAGGAAGUGGAGCUUCCUAUUCCGUUCGCACCAAAAACCGAAAUGACAAAACUUACUGAAUCGAGCGUUGCUGAUGAAACUGGUACGUCGGAUACCCUGCGAUUCCGUCAACUGAUUAAAGGAGACGUCAAGCAGGACUCUCUCCGGGAGUUCGUGUCCUACACAGCCGAUGGGGACCACAUCACCCUGGUGGGCGCCAAGUCGGAUGUCAUCACGCUGGAGAUGACCAGCAAGGCCAGCUGUCAUGUGCCUUUUCCCUUUGUCAUCAGCUGCCUGGAAUCGCCCGUAAAUGAGCGUCCACUGGAUAUUUUGCUGUCAGGGAUCAAUCUUGUGGACAUCUAUGAAAACUGUCAUGUGCUGGAGGCCCAAGAGUUCUCCCUAGAGCCGAUUUAUUUGACCGUUUGUUCUACUGAAGCGCCAGAGUCCCGACUGGUGGCCUCCCAAUGGUCGCCACAGGUGCUGACCAAUGGACAAAUGCUAUUGGCCGUCUUGAACACCUAUGGAGCCAUAACACUGCUGUGCAAGCCCGCGGAGCACUCUCGCUGGAGUCGACUGGACGGCCUGAAUGUGGCCACAACAUUGCGGGACACUCUGCUGCCUGAAACGAAUGUUUCCAAGAUACAGAGCUUCAAGCAGUUUAAGGCUUACAUAGAUCGCGCCUGGAUCACGAUGUUCACAUGGCGUCCAGCUGCGGAGCCCAGUUCCGGACAUUUCCUCGUCUUUGGCACAGCCAACGGCGCCUUGUGGACUUUUACUUUGAGUGCUGAUGCCCGAACCUUGCUGCAACAUCGCGUGCUGGCCACCUCUCUGAGCCGCAUUUGCUAUAUGCUUGCUUUUGAGGAUCUGCUGCUGGUGGGAGACGUGACUGGCGUUGUCCAUCUCUACAGAUUUAACAAUGAGGAAGAAUCCGGACUGUCGUUUAUACGGCCAGUGUGGGAGAAAGCGGAUCGUAUGGGGCUUCAGAAGGCGAUAAUCACGCGAUGCACGGAGCGAGAGUGUUACUAUAUAUCCAUCUGCAAGGCGGCAAAUCUGCUAAUUUGGUGCGUUCCCUGGCAAGAAGGCAGCGAGUGGCUGGAGACGCGCAUCUAUGUUGGAGGCAUGAAGAUCACCGGGCUCUGUAUGUUGGACAGCAGCAGCUUCGCCGUGGCCACGGCCACAAGUAAGCUAUACCGAAUGCACGUUGCCCAAGAGGACAAGAAGCUCAAUGCGUCCAUGCAGUCGAUAGCUAUAGACGACUGUGAAGACUACCAGAUGAUCGGGCUGUUCAGCAGCAGACAGAGGAACCUUCUCACAGUGCUCUUCCAGCCCAACAAGGAGUAUGCGGUCAACAUCUACGCAAUCUCACUACGCAACCAGCUCACGUUGCGCGUGGGCAAGAUCCACAACGAGGAUAUACUGACCCAGCUGGCAGACACCUUCCAACACGACACGCCCAUCAAUCAGAGUACGGAUUUGCUAGCCGAGCUGCGCCUGGAGAUCUUUGCCAGCAGUAAGAACUUGCAGAAAUACGCCGAUUUCAAUCGAUUGGCAGCAUUCAAGUUUGACAAGGACCCCACAGAAUUGCAACAGCAUCAGCUCCAACUGAAGUACCACAUCCUGACGACUGUUCUCCACCUGCGAUCGAAUCUCCUGUGGCUCACGCUGCACAGGGAGGAAUCGCAGAAGGAAAUGCAGCUGCUUCUGGCAAUGCUGGCCAUGACACACAUGAGACUGAGACUGAAGUACCUGUGCUCUCUGAGGGAACUGACUCCGUUUCAGACGGAGGCCGCGCAGUGCAUGUUUGCGGAGGCGCAACGCUUGAGGAAUCUGCUGAGGGAAGACUCGCACGAGGGCCAAAACUCCGCCCACUCGCAGGACUCACCCGAGAUGCAAGACUCGCGCGACAGGCACUGCUUCCAAGAGGCGUUUGUUCAACAAAUGACCAUUAACUUUGAUGCUUUGCAAGUUAAGCUGAGACUGGGAAAAGAUGUGAUGGCAACACCCGAAGAAGAGCAACCAAAGCAUCGAUGUUGGGUGUCCUAUCUGGAGCUUCCGUUCAGCCUGGACCGACGCUACUGCAGCCACUGCAAUCGUACUAUUUUGAUGGAUCAGGAGAAGCUACUGGAGCUGUAUGAGCCAGGCUCCACCCUGCUGUGUCCCUGCUGUCACGGUAGCUAUGCAGUGGAUCUCGUAACUGCGUAAACAUAAAAUUUAUUAAGUAAUUCCAUUAAGUGGCUGGGGCGCGCGUGUGUGUGUCCGUCUCUGGCAGCGAAGGCGGGCUCCGCUCUGGCUUUGCUCCACUGACAGAUGCCGACACACACACCCACACGCCUGGGAAUUUGUCGUGUCUGUGUGUGUAUAAGCUUUGGUUAGGUUAAUACAGUGAAACAUAAAUAAUAGGACUGGUUUCGAGCAACAGAAUGUCCUGCUCCACCUGCCGCAAAUCAGUCUCUAGCUUGCCCUUGCGCUGAACCUUGGCCACGCUGUCGAUGAGCAGCGACAUGGACUGAUACUGCUUGGUCAUCUCGCUGAGACUCUGACGCAGUCCCUCGAUGAUUUCGUUGCGCUCUUUUUGAUCCAUUACCCGCAUGCCAGGCACUUCCGGUGGAGCCCGAGCAGCGCCUUCGCUGGCGAUGGUGGGGGCUUUCGUGAAUCCCUUGACGCCGCGACAGAGCUCCAUCAGGCGUGCCUGCUCUUUGGCACAGAUUGCAUUCAUCUCGGUCAGCAGUCUCUUGGUCUUCUUCAGGUAAAUGGGCACCUUGCCAAAGUCCUUGCGACAGAUGAAUUGUGGCAACAGGCCAGAGUUCAGCAGAUUGUGUCGCGUGCCCACCGGCGUGUCAAUGUACCGCGGCGGCGGUGGACAUGGCACUGUCCGUUUGGCGCAUUGGAUAUUCCGCCGUAUGAAAUUCGGCACCAUUAUCGGCUCCUGGCGCUUGCUACCGAUGCCUGGCAACGGCGGCAUUUUCUCACCCUUGGGACAGACAUGAGUGUUCUCGCGCCGCCAUUUGACGCCCUGGUUCUUGCGAAGAUAGGCGCACGGCGGAUCAAUGGGUGUGUGGGCGCAGCCCAUGGUGCGAUGAUGGGCCUUCUUGGCAUCCGUAAGCAGUAGCAUGCCAUCGUUCUGCAAAAUUACCGAAUGCUUCUUAUCCUCGACAUCCAAGCGGUCGCGCAAGGACUUGGCAAACCGUGCUCCCUUUAUGGCAGUAGCUGCAUUGCAUUUAAAUAAAUCAAAAAUUAAGGCGAGGGGUGUUGGGUGCUUUAUCUAUAUAUAUAUAUAUAUAUAUAUAUAUCUUACCGGUAUUGUAAACCCUGGAGGGCUUGCUGACCGCCUGGUUAAUAAACUCUUGCUCACAAUCAAAGAUGUUCUCAUCGUGGUGCGUGAUAUAGACGAGCGACAUGGUUAACAAAAUAUAUUAUGCCUAUAAAAAUGUGAAACUUUAAAAGCCACUGACAGAGUUUUAGUAUUGCUUGCUUUUCAAUUCAAUUCCGUUCCUGUUGCCAAGUGCUUUUUCCAGGUAGACUUUGUUUUCCAACCAAACACAAUUGUUCGUUGCGUUGCUAUAGUAUUCCAUUCUAGAAUUCUACCAAAGAUAGUACUUCCUGUAUUUUGGUGAUCCAUUGCCCAGGGAAACAGUAUUCGUAGAAAUCUAUAUAUAUAUUUUCGUUUAAAGCACAAUAUCAAGCUGCAGCUUGUGUCGCAUGGGUUGUGUAUAAUUUGUUACCAUAUAAAAUUCGUGUAUUUAUAAAUAUGUUUGCUGACGCCUAUCGACCUAUAUCUACUAUAUGUAUUGUGGAAGUGUUGGAAGCACGAUUGAAUUUGCGAAACGAACAACAGACUGCGACAAUUACAGAUUCAAGGAAGCACACAAAGAGAGAGAGACGAGACAGAUAAAAAGCACUAGGUC